CGAGGACUUGCUCUCUGGGUGACGAGCGGCGGACGGGUGAGUAAUGUCUGGGAAACUGCCUGAUGGAGGGGGAUAACUACUGGAAACGGUAGCUAAUACCGCAUAACGUCUACGGACCAAAGUGGGGGACCUUCGGGCCUCAUGCCAUCAGAUGUGCCCAGAUGGGAUUAGCUAGUAGGUGGGGUAAUGGCUCACCUAGGCGACGAUCCCUAGCUGGUCUGAGAGGAUGACCAGCCACACUGGAACUGAGACACGGUCCAGACUCCUACGGGAGGCAGCAGUGGGGAAUAUUGCACAAUGGGCGCAAGCCUGAUGCAGCCAUGCCGCGUGUGUGAAGAAGGCCUUCGGGUUGUAAAGCACUUUCAGCGAGGAGGAAGGGUUCAGUGUUAAUAGCACUGUUCAUUGACGUUACUCGCAGAAGAAGCACCGGCUAACUCCGUGCCAGCAGCCGCGGUAAUACGGAGGGUGCAAGCGUUAAUCGGAAUUACUGGGCGUAAAGCGCACGCAGGCGGUUUGUUAAGUCAGAUGUGAAAUCCCCGCGCUUAACGUGGGAACUGCAUUUGAAACUGGCAAGCUAGAG
rnacentral:rRNA from 1 species